UACGGAGGGUGCGAGCGUUGUCCGGAAUCACUGGGCGUAAAGGGCGCGUAGGCGGUUCGUCACGUCGGGAGUGAAAACUCGGAGCUUAACUCCGAGCCUGCUUCCGAUACGGGCAGACUAGAGGUAGGCAGGGGAGAGCGGAACUCCUGGUGUAGCGGUGGAAUGCGCAGAUAUCAGGAAGAACACCGGUGGCGAAGGCGGCUCUCUGGGCCUUACCUGACGCUGAGGAGCGAAAGCGUGGGUAGCGAACAGG
rnacentral:rRNA from 1 species